AUGAUUGAUUUCAGAGAUACCCUGGAAGCUUGUGAACUUGUCGAUUUGGGAUUCUCAGGUGUCCCUUACACAUAUGAUAAUAUGCGCAGCGGAGUGGGCAACGUUAAGGUUCGGCUUGAUAGGGCCACGGCGACCAACUCAUGGCGCAACAUGUUUGCGUUUUCUACAGUCCAACAUGUUGCUUCUCCGUGCUCUGACCAUGUCUUACUAAUCCUAGAAGGGAAGCCGGAUGAUGGGUACAGAGGCCCCAAGUCAAGGAGAUAUGAGGUUUUUUGGGAACGUGAUGUAGCUCUCCCAAACGUAAUUAAAGAUGCAUGGGAAUCGGUGGGAAUAGUGGACAAUCUAGAGAGAUUACAGGGUGCACUUAGCAAGAGCAUGGCUACUCUCGGCAUGUGGAGUAACAAAAAAAUUGGUAAUGUGGCAAGGGAAUUAGCUAAGUCCAGAUCCCAGCUUGAGGAGUUGAUGAACAUGAAUGCGGACAGGCAGGAUAUUAGGCGGAUCACGGAUAAAAUGAAUGAGUUAUUAUAUCACGAAGAGAUGAUGUGGAUGCAACGUUCACGAAUUACGUGGCUAAAAGAGGGUGACAGAAACACAAAAUAUUUUCAGAGCAAGGCGGUUUGGAGGGCGCGGAAAAAUAAAAUUCGUGAGCUCACAGAUAGUAUUGGUAAUGUUCACUCUGAUUUUAAUAUCAUGUCUAGUAUGGCUAAUGAAUAUUUCUAG
rnacentral:rRNA from 1 species